rnacentral:rRNA from 1 species
UACGAAGGGGGCAAGCGUUGUUCGGAUUUACUGGGCGUAAAGCGUACGUAGGCGGAUCAUUAAGUCAGGGGUGAAAUCCCGGGGCUCAACCUCGGAACUGCCUUUGAUACUGGUGAUCUUGAGUCCGGGAGAGGUGAGUGGAACUCCUAGUGUAGAGGUGAAAUUCGUAGAUAUUAGGAAGAACACCAGUGGCGAAGGCGGCUCACUGGCCCGGAACUGACGCUGAGGUACGAAAGCGUGGGGAGCAAACAGG